rnacentral:rRNA from 1 species
UGCAAGUCGAACGGUGAACACGGAGCUUGCUCUGUGGGAUCAGUGGCGAACGGGUGAGUAACACGUGAGCAACCUGCCCCUGACUCUGGGAUAAGCGCUGGAAACGGCGUCUAAUACUGGAUAUGUGACGUGACCGCAUGGUCUGCGUCUGGAAAGAAUUUCGGUUGGGGAUGGGCUCGCGGCCUAUCAGCUUGUUGGUGAGGUAAUGGCUCACCAAGGCGUCGACGGGUAGCCGGCCUGAGAGGGUGACCGGCCACACUGGGACUGAGACACGGCCCAGACUCCUACGGGAGGCAGCAGUGGGGAAUAUUGCACAAUGGGCGCAAGCCUGAUGCAGCAACGCCGCGUGAGGGACGACGGCCUUCGGGUUGUAAACCUCUUUUAGCAGGGAAGAAGCGAAAGUGACGGUACCUGCAGAAAAAGCGCCGGCUAACUACGUGCCAGCAGCCGCGGUAAUACGUAGGGCGCAAGCGUUAUCCGGAAUUAUUGGGCGUAAAGAGCUCGUAGGCGGUUUGUCGCGUCUGCUGUGAAAUCCGGAGGCUCAACCUCCGGCCUGCAGUGGGUACGGGCAGACUAGAGUGCGGUAGGGGAGAUUGGAAUUCCUGGUGUAGCGGUGGAAUGCGCAGAUAUCAGGAGGAACACCGAUGGCGAAGGCAGAUCUCUGGGCCGUAACUGACGCUGAGGAGCGAAAGGGUGGGGAGCAAACAGGCUUAGAUACCCUGGUAGUCCACCCCGUAAACGUUGGGAACUAGUUGUGGGGUCCAUUCCACGGAUUCCGUGACGCAGCUAACGCAUUAAGUUCCCCGCCUGGGGAGUACGGCCGCAAGGCUAAAACUCAAAGGAAUUGACGGGGACCCGCACAAGCGGCGGAGCAUGCGGAUUAAUUCGAUGCAACGCGAAGAACCUUACCAAGGCUUGACAUAUACGAGAACGGGCCAGAAAUGGUCAACUCUUUGGACACUCGUAAAC